rnacentral:rRNA from 1 species
UGGGGAAUAUUGGGCAAUGGGCGAAAGCCUGACCCAGCGACGCCGCGUGAAGGAAGACGGUCUUCGGAUUGUAAACUUCUUUUAUACAGGACGAAACAAAUGACGGUACUGUAUGAAUAAGCCACGGCUAACUACGUGCCAGCAGCCGCGGUAAUACGUAGGUGGCGAGCGUUAUCCGGAUUUACUGGGUGUAAAGGGUGUGUAGGCGGGACUGCAAGUCAGAUGUGAAAAUCACAGGCUCAACCUGUGACCUGCAUUUGAAACUGUGGUUCUUGAGGGUCGGAGAGGUAACUGGAAUUCCUGGUGUAGCGGUGAAAUGCGUAGAUAUCAGGAGGAACACCGGUGGCGAAGGCGGGUUACUGGACGAUUACUGACGCUGAGACACGAAAGCGUGGGGAGCAAACAGG